rnacentral:lncRNA from 1 species
GGCUUUGCUAUCACACUGUUGGACCUUUUCUUGCCUUCCUUUCUUGCUCCUUGUCAUCUUAAUUUUUAUUAUAAUUCUCUAAGCCUUUUGGAAGACUUCUUGUCCUUUAUCAGGACCUUAUCUAGGCUAGAGAAGAAGAAUAAAGAGAAUUGGAUAAGAUGAGCCUAUUGUAAGAAAGAAGGAAGAGUUUGGAAUGAGCG